rnacentral:lncRNA from 1 species
GCCAUGGGGACGUCAUUGGUGGCACUUGGUGACCUUAAAUCCAUCGGGACGUUGGUGGCCAUGGGGGUCCUGGUGGCAUCUGGAGGUCCUGGUGCCAUCGGGAUGUCAUUGGUGGCACUUGGUGACCUUAAAUCCAUGGGGACACGGGUGGCCAUGGGGGUCCUGGUGCCAUGGGGAUGUCAUUGGUGGCACUUGGUGACUUUAAAUCCAUGGGGACACGGGUGGCCAUAGGGGUCCUGGUGGCACCAGUGGCACCCGAAGGUCCUGAACCCUUGGGGACAUCGGUGACACUCAAAGUUCUCAGGUCCAUGGGGACGUUGGUGGCAUCUGAAGUUCUUGGGACCACGGGGACAUUGGUGGCACUUGGUGACCCCGUAUCCAUGGGGACGCGGGUGGCCAUGGGGGUCCUGGUGGCACCUGGAGGCCCCAGAUCCACGUUGGUGACACCUGAAGCUCUCGGGUCCGUGUUGGUGACAUCAGUGUCCCCACGACCGCCCAGCUCCUCGGUGGCAGCGCUGUCACCUGCAGUGACACCCAGCAGCCCUGCUGGCUCCGUGUCCCCAUUACCCCCAAACCUCCAGCAGCCCCAAAUCCCUACAACUCAACGUCCCCAUCACCCCCAGUGCCCCACAAUGUCCCCAACGUCCCCAUUGACCCCAUUGACCCCAUUACCCCCAAUACACCCCAAUGUCCCCACUGCCCUUAAUGUCCCCCAACAUCCCCCUUUGCCCCCAAUGUCCCCAAUAUCCCCCAAUGUCCCCCAAUCUCCCCCUGCCCCCAAUGUCCCCAU